CCUACGGGGUGCAGCAGUGGGGAAUAUUGCACAAUGGGGGAAACCCUGAUGCAGCGACGCCGCGUGAGUGAAGAAGUAUUUCGGUACGUAAAGCUCUAUCAGCAGGGAAGAAAAUGACGGUACCUGACUAAGAAGCCCCGGCUAACUACGUGCCAGCAGCCGCGGUAAUACGUAGGGGGCAAGCGUUAUCCGGAUUUACUGGGUGUAAAGGGAGCGUAGACGGCAGCGCAAGUCUGAUGUGAAAGGUCGGGGCCCAACCCCGGGACUGCAUUGGAAACUGUUGAACUGGAGUACAGGAGAGGUAAGCGGAAUUCCUAGUGUAGCGGUGAAAUGCGUAGAUAUUAGGAGGAACACCAGUGGCGAAGGCGGCUUACUGGACUGUAACUGACGCUGAUGCUCGAAAGCGCGGGUAUCGAACAGGAUUAGAUACCCUUGUAGUC
rnacentral:rRNA from 1 species